rnacentral:siRNA from 1 species
UUCGAUGCCAGCGACGACGAC